rnacentral:rRNA from 1 species
ACGAACGCUGGCGGUGUGCUUCACACAUGCCAGUCGAACGGAAAGGCCCUGCUUUUGUGGGGUGCUCGAGUGGCGAACGGGUGAGUAACACGUGAGUAACCUGCCCUUGACUUUGGGAUAACUUCAGGAAACUGGGGCUAAUACCGGAUAGGAGCUCCUGCUGCAUGGUGGGGGUUGGAAAGUUUCGGCGGUUGGGGAUGGACUCGCGGCUUAUCAGCUUGUUGGUGGGGUAGUGGCUUACCAAGGCUUUGACGGGUAGCCGGCCUGAGAGGGUGACCGGCCACAUUGGGACUGAGAUACGGCCCAGACUCCUACGGGAGGCAGCAGUGGGGAAUAUUGCACAAUGGGCGGAAGCCUGAUGCAGCAACGCCGCGUGCGGGAUGACGGCCUUCGGGUUGUAACCCGCUUUCGCCUGUGACGAAGCGUGAGUGACGGUAAUGGGUAAAGAAGCACCGGCUAACUACGUG